GUAGGUGGCAAGCGUUGUCCGGAAUUAUUGGGCGUAAAGCGCGCGCAGGCGGUUCUUUAAGUCUGAUGUGAAAGCCCACGGCUCAACCGUGGAGGGUCAUUGGAAACUGGAGAACUUGAGUACAGAAGAGGAAAGCGGAAUUCCACGUGUAGCGGUGAAAUGCGUAGAGAUGUGGAGGAACACCAGUGGCGAAGGCGGCUUUCUGGUCUGUAACUGACGCUGAGGCGCGAAAGCGUGGGGAGCAAACAGGAUUAGAUACCCUGGUAGCCCACGCCGUAAACGAUGAGUGCUAAGUGUUAGGGGGGUUUUCCGCCCCCCUUAGUGCUGCAGCUAACGCAUUAAGCACUCCGCCUGGGAGUACGGCCGCAAGGCUG
rnacentral:rRNA from 1 species